rnacentral:rRNA from 1 species
AACGAACGCUGGCGGCGUGCCUAACACAUGCAAGUCGAACGGAAUUUGAGAGCUUGCUCUUAAAUUUAGUGGCGCACGGGUGAGUAACGCGUAGAUAAUCUGCCUGCUGAUCCGGGAUAACAGUUCGAAAGGACUGCUAAUACCGGAUAAGCCCACGGGUUCUUUGGAAUCUGCGGGAAAAGGGGGGGACCUUUUGGCCUUAUGUCUUCAGUUGGAUCGCGGUCCAAUUAGCAAGUUGGUAGGGUAAAGGCCUACCAAGGCUACGAUGGUUAGCUGGACUGAGAGGAUGAACAGCCACACUGGAACUGAGACACGGUCCAGACUCCUACGGGAGGCAGCAGUGGGGAAUUUUGCGCAAUGGGCGAAAGCCUGACGCAGCAACGCCGCGUGAGUGAUGAAGGCUUUCGGGUCGUAAAGCUCUGUCAGGGGGAAAGAAAUGUAUUGUGGCUAAUAUCCGCGAUACUUGACGGUACCCCCAAAGGAAGCACCGGCUAACUCCGUGCCAGCAGCCGCCGUAA